GGUACAGGAAGCAGCUUGCUGCUUCGCUGACGAGUGGCGGACGGGUGAGUAAUGUCUGGGAAACUGCCUGAUGGAGGGGGAUAACUACUGGAAACGGUAGCUAAUACCGCAUAACGUCGCAAGACCAAAGAGGGGGACCUUCGGGCCUCUUGCCAUCGGAUGUGCCCAGAUGGGAUUAGCUAGUAGGUGGGGUAACGGCUCACCUAGGCGACGAUCCCUAGCUGGUCUGAGAGGAUGACCAGCCACACUGGAACUGAGACACGGUCCAGACUCCUACGGGAGGCAGCAGUGGGGAAUAUUGCACAAUGGGCGCAAGCCUGAUGCAGCCAUGCCGCGUGUAUGAAGAAGGCCUUCGGGUUGUAAAGUACUUUCAGCGGGGAGGAAGGGAGUAAAGUUAAUACCUUUGCUCAUUGACGUUACCCGCAGAAGAAGCACCGGCUAACUCCGUGCCAGCAGCCGCGGUAAUACGGAGGGUGCAAGCGUUAAUCGGAAUUACUGGGCGUAAAGCGCACGCAGGCGGUUUGUUAAGUCAGAUGUGAAAUCCCCGGGCUCAACCUGGGAACUGCAUCUGAUACUGGCAAGCUUGAGUCUCGUAGAGGGGGGUAGAAUUCCAUGUG
rnacentral:rRNA from 1 species